GAUGAACGCUGGCGGCGUGCCUAAUACAUGCAAGUCGAACGGAGAUUGUAGCAAUACAUUCUUAGUGGCGAACGGGUGAGUAACGCGUUGGUGACCUGCCCCAAAGUGAGGGAUAACAGCCCGAAAGGGUUGCUAAUACCUCAUGUGGUCUUUGAGAUUAGAUGCUCUUAGACUAAAGGAUUUAUUCGCUUUGGGAGGGGCCUGCGUCCCAUCAGCUUGUUGGUGAGGUAAUGGCUUACCAAGGCUAUGACGGGUAGGGGACCUGAGAGGGUGACCCCCCACAAUGGAACUGAAACACGGUCCAUACACCUACGGGUGGCAGCAGUAGGGAAUAUUGGUAAUCUGGGAAACCGGGAACCAGCAACGCCGCGUGUGCGAAGAAGGCCUUCGGGUUGUAAAGCACUUUUUAAGGGGAUGAGGAAGGACAGUACCCUUAGAAUAAGCCUCGGCUAACUACGUG
rnacentral:rRNA from 1 species